rnacentral:rRNA from 1 species
UACGUAGGGUGCAAGCGUUGUCCGGAAUUAUUGGGCGUAAAGAGCUCGUAGGCGGUCUGUUACGUCUGCUGUGAAAACCCAGGGCUUAACCCUGGGCUUGCAGUGGAUACGGGCAGACUAGAGGCAGGUAGGGGAGAAUGGAAUUCCCGGUGUAGCGGUGAAAUGCGCAGAUAUCGGGAGGAACACCGGUGGCGAAGGCGGUUCUCUGGGCCUGACCUGGACGCUGAGGAGCGAAAGCGUGGGGAGCGAA